rnacentral:rRNA from 1 species
ACUCCUACGGGAGGCAGCAGUGGGGAAUAUUGGACAAUGGGGGCAACCCUGAUCCAGCGACGCCGCGUGUGUGAAGAAGGCCUGCGGGUUGUAAAGCACUUUUAGUGGGGAUGAAAAGCCGAAGGCUAAUACCUUUCGGUCUUGACCUAACCCAAAGAAAAAGCACCGGCUAACUCUGUGCCAGCAGCCGCGGUAAUACAGAGGGUGCAAGCGUUAAUCGGAAUUACUGGGCGUAAAGCGUGCGUAGUCGGUUAUCUAAGUCGGGUGUGAAAUCCCCGGGCUCAACCUGGGAAUUGCAUUCGAUACUGGAUAGCUAGAGUUCGGCAGAGGGAAGCGGAAUUUCCGGUGUAGCGGUGAAAUGCGUAGAUAUCGGAAGGAACAUCAGUGGCGAAAGCGGCUUCCUGGACCAGAACUGACGAUCAGGCACGAAAGCGUGGGGAGCAAACAGGAUUAGAUACCCUGGUAGUCCACGCCAUAAACGAUGACAACUAGACGUUGGGCGGGUAAGCCGCACAGUGUCGCAGCUAACGCGUUAAGUUGUCCGCCUGGGGAGUACGGCCGCAAGGUUGAAACUUAAAGGAAUUGACG